GAUGAACGCUGGCGGCGUGCCUAAUACAUGCGAGUCGAGCGAACAGACGAGGAGCUUGCUCCUCUGACGUUAGCGGCGGACGGGUGAGUAACACGUGGAUAACCUACCUAUAAGACUGGGAUAACUUCGGGAAACCGGAGCUAAUACCGGAUAAUAUAUUGAACCGCAUGGUUCAAUAGUGAAAGACGGUUUUGCUGUCACUUAUAGAUGGAUCCGCGCCGCAUUAGCUAGUUGGUAAGGUAACGGCUUACCAAGGCAACGAUGCGUAGCCGACCUGAGAGGAAGAUAGGCAACACUGGAACUGAGACACGGUCCAGACUCCUACGGGAGGCAGCAGUAGGGAAUCUUCCGCAAUGGGCGAAAGCCUGACGGAGCAACGCCGCAUGAGUGAUGAAGGUCUACGGAUCGUAAAACUCUGUUAUUAGGGAAGAACAAAUGUGUAAGUAACUAUGCACGUCUUGACGGUACCUAAUCAGAAAGACACGGCUAACUACGUG
rnacentral:rRNA from 1 species